GUCCAAGUGUUGUGUGGAAGAGUUGUGUUGGUUAAGACACAUCCUUUGAUUAAUAUAAAAAUGAUUCGUACAUCAUUUGUUGCACGUAUGUAAAAGAGAGUCUUUCUAAAACACACAACAAUAAUAUUUAUCAAAAGGAGAGAUUAAGGAAGCUUUGGGAUUUCUUGUCCAUCAAGGAAAUCACCAACAUGAGAAGGUUAAAGAGGAGAAGAUCAAUUGGUGGAAUUGCAUCCAAGCAUGGGUCAAGGUUAGUGUUUCUACCUUCUUUAGAAAUGUGUUAGGAUUGAAAUAAAUCAAAUCUAGAUCAGUUCUUGGUGUUGAAAUAAGUUAACAUGAGAAGCAUGGAGAUAAUGAAGGUUUUGUCUCCUUAUCAUAAAGAACACAUCAAG
rnacentral:lncRNA from 1 species